rnacentral:rRNA from 1 species
AUGGAAAGAACUUUGAAAAGAGAGUUAAAAGCGCUUGAAACCGUCACGGGGGAAGCGGAUUGCGUGAGUGAUGGUGUGCACAGUUCAGCUCGAGUGUAUUCUGUGCAUGCCGGGCGUGUGUGGCUGGGGUGCGUGCCUGGCACGCGGUCCUGGUGAGGGCUCCCUGCUUGUCGGGUGAGGACACACGCGAAAUGACGCAAUACGACCCGUCUUGAAACACGGACCAAGGAGUCUAGCACGGCUGCGAGUCGAAGGGUGUAGAAACCCAGAGGGCGCAGUGAAAGCGAAAGAAAGCAAAUUGGGGAGGCGUUGCGGUUUUACCAAAGUGUCCUACCUCGAGCACCUGUGCUGGGACCCGAAAGAUGGUGAACUAUGCCGGAGUAGGGCAAAGCCAGAGGAAACUCUGGUGGAGGCUCGUAGCGAUGCUGACGUGCAAAUCGCUCGUCGAACUUGGGUAUAGGGGCGAAAGACUAAUCGAACCAUCUAGUAGCUGGUUCCCUCCGAAGUUUCUCUCAGGAUAGCGGGCCGACGAAAUGUUGUUUUGUGC